AGUAUUGUUUUUACCUGAGAACAGAAAAUAUCUAUUGCAGUACAACGUUUUGUACCCUAUGGCUCAAAUGUGCAGCACGUUCAUAAUAAAACUCAUAAAUAUAACAAAAUGAAGUUCUGUGAAGUGAUACUUAUCUUGACAUGUUCUGUUUUCUUUGUUUCUUGUGGAAAAAAUGGCACUGAAAUUUUGAAUGGACAUUGUUUAAAAUGUGACACUGGGGUUAAUAAGGGUCAUUCGCAAAGAUGUAUGCCGGAAUCAUGUGAAUGUCCUUAUCCUCCAACGUUGGAACCCAAUGUAGAUCUACCCAAUCAUGAGAAGGAAACAACAACAAUUUCAAAUGUAAAAUUUUCGCCCCAUAUGGCAAGUUAUCCUAAUUCACCAAUACCGCAUUGUAUAGAAACUACUUUUAUAGUUCUUCGCUGGAAAACAUCCCCUCAGCCUGGAGUUUACUACUAUAUUCGAUAUUACAAUACCAAAAAUAGAAAUACACGCUUCGAAUCUAAUGUGACACAAUGUGGAUAUAUGACCCUUUUCGAUCUAAAACCGGACACUUUGUACAGCAUACAACUUGUAACUUCAACAGUUCCAACUGAUAGAUCCUCUGUACACCAAAAGUAUAGUAGGUAUAUCAAAUUACGUACAAGGAAAGAACAUGUAAUACCUAGACAAGUCCAUCAAUUUUGGAUUGAUAAAUGGAUUCUUGACGACCACAAGUAUACAAUUCAGGUGAAAUGGGAGAAAUCAAAAGAUCGUAGUUGCUUUUAUAAAUUAACAUAUUUUUCGAAUGGUGAGUGGAAUAAUGAAAUGGACAUAAGUGAGCCUUUAAUAAAUGACGAAUGGAAUAUAACAAAUAUACAAUUUGGAACUUACUAUACAAUAUCAAUAACCGCUUAUACAUCUCCCGAUGAUUUUCCAGUUUUAGAAAGUCCAAAAAAGUGGAUAAAUAUCACAACUCCUACUUGUUUGGAUGUCUUCAAUAAAAUAGACGAUUGCAUUCCGGAUAUGCCACAGAAUCUUGAAGUUAGAGAAUAUCUACUCCAGAAUGUAAAAGAUAAGAUAUGUUAUAACGUUACUGUGCGGUGGAAAAAACCCCAUUACGAUCCAUACUAUUACACAGUCAUAAUAAAAUUAUGGGAUAUCAAUACAACAUUGUCAUAUAAUAUAACCGGUAACAGCACAUCAUUUACGUUAUCAGAAAUUCAACUAACACCCAAUUACGAUGUCAUAGUUAUCGCUUUCUCCACUAGAGGUGCAAGUCCUCCAGCUGUGAUUCACAAACAACGAUCUGCAAAUUUUACUACAGAAGAAUAUGAAGGAGAAGAUAUUCCCAGUUCUUCUGAAUCAAUAGAAGUUAUUUUAAUUAUAGGAAGUUCAAUGAUUUUGAUUUGUUUAGCAGCAUUGUUUGGACUGAAGCUAUAUUUUCCAAUACGGCUAAAAAAUCAUAAAAGAAAAACAGAAGAGAAAUCUUCAAUACACAAUGAUUUAACUGCAAACAAAAUUAAACAAAUGAAAAUGGAUAAAUGGGAAAUAGAUACACAGAAGCUUGUGAUUAAAGAGAUUUUGGGUGCCGGUGCUUUUGGAGUGGUACGUAAAGGCUUGUACUAUCGAAAAAAGAAAGAAGAAAUCGCUGUUGCCAUUAAAAUGUUGAGAGAAAAUCCAACUUCAGAAGAAAUCGAACAGUUCCAUCAUGAGAUUCAGUUAAUGAAGUCGGUUCCUGAUCAUCCUCAUUUGGUUUCAUUAGUUGGUUGUGUUACACAAGACCAGCUCUUACUAGUUGUCGAAUAUUGUGCAAAAGGAGAUCUGCAAAGUUACUUACGGGUGGCAUCGGAUAAGAUUUUGAAAGCUAAUCUACUCAGCCAAGGAGAUGAUUAUGUGGAGAGGUCAGUGUUCAAUAAAAUGUACGAAUUUGAUCAACUAAACCUUAACGACAUUCCAGAAACCAAGGAUCUUAUUUCAUUUGCCAGACAAGUUUCUUUAGGAAUGGAAUAUCUAUCAUCAUUAAAAAUGAUUCAUCGUGACUUGGCAGCAAGAAAUGUUUUGAUAACUGCAGAUAAUAUUGCCAAAAUAUCCGAUUUUGGUUUGAGUCGUGAUGUUUACUAUAAUAACAUGUAUUGUAAAUCGACCGGUGGAAAACUUCCGAUUCGUUGGAUGGCUUUGGAAUCUAUGACCCAUCAGAUUUACACAACUCAAAGCGACGUUUGGUCUUUUGGAAUACUUUUAUGGGAGAUUAUAACUAUGGGUGGUACUCCUUAUCCGGGAAUACCCACGCAUGAUAUUAUGGACAUGCUAAAAGUUGGCUACAGAAUGAAAAAACCGGACAAUUGCAGAGAUGAAUUAUAUUAUCUAAUGUGUAAAUGUUGGGAUGAACAACCCAACAGUCGUCCAUCGUUUACAGAGCUCAGAAAAUCGCUUGAUGAACUACUAGUUUUACAAUCAAAUUAUGUGAAUUUAGAUAAACGAAGCAUUUAUAAAGAAAAAGAGGUUAUAGUUGAGAACAUAAAACCGCUAAAGAGGUAGAAUUAACUGUUUAUGCUUAUGAGCUAUACAGUAUUACAAUUUUUAAUUUAAACAUAGAGUCUCCAGUCACCCUUCUAUGGGAUUACCCAAGGAUUUAGCAUAAGGUGACCAGAUUUUUAGAUGGGCAAAGCGGGACAACUCUGAAGGAGGGGAGAGAAUCAACAAUUUUUUUUGUUAUUUUUAACAUAAAUACAAUUUAUAAAUAUAAAAAAAUGUAUAAUAUUUUAUUCUUUGACAUAUUUUUUAUUUGAGUGAAUUUGUUUCAAUAGAUUGUUGUCAUGUUUUAAAAUAUUGUAAAAAUCUUGACAAGAAUUUUUGAAAUAUUUGACACAUAAAAUGGCUUUCAAAGUUUCAACAUUUAAUUGUUAGUCGACGUAGCCCAUAGGAUUCUUAGAACGCAAAACAAUGAUUUUCUUAAAUAUCAAAAAUUACUUAAUCCUAAAAGUCGGGACUCUUGAAAAACGUCGCGGAACUCGGGACAAAUUCUGAAAAACAUCCCACCAAAAGCGAGACGUCUGGUCAUCUUAAUCUAGCAUCCAUUCUUUCUAUGAUCUGCGCACAAAUACUCUUUUCUUAGACCCAAAAACUUCAAACAUUGACUUAUCACUCCAUAAAACUCUCUCCCACUCUUCAUGUCUCCAAUUUCUAUAUUCUUGAGCCCACUGCAACUUCAGUCUCUGAACUGUACCACAACUGGUAUAAUGCUUGCUUUUUAAGAGGUGUUUAAGGUUUGUUUAUUUUUAGGGUACAUUCAGAAACUAUAAAGUGAUUUUGUGUCCUAAGCCAUUAGAUGCUACUUACCAAAUGUACCUACAGUUAAAAGGGCUAUUUGGAUGUUACUAAAAAGGAUAUGGGAAAUAUUAAUCCCUUAGAGAAUUUUAGUAAUAUAUACCUAAGAUAUACCAUCCUUAAGAAAAAGUUUAUAAUCUACUUUGAACGCGUACCCAAUAAUUGCUGCUGCAACACCACCUUUAACACAGGUAGGAAAAAAAAGAAAAGCAUCAUUUUUUAUUUUAUACAGUUUCCCUGGACCAUUCACUUUCAUCUCGACUACCGACUAAAUACUUAUCCCCAUCUUAAAAAUAUUUUACAACCUGAUAAAACACAAAAUACGAUCUAAAAUAUGCGCGGAUCCAUAUGUUCUAAAAUUUAGUCAAAACAUUAUAUUCGCCCCGAACUAGUAUUGAAGUUGCUGCUGAAACGUAAAAUUUUUCUUUCGUUACUUGAACUUGAAACUGUUGGAACGGCAUUUUCAUAUAGCGCAUCAAGUAUUCACAGACAAUCUGCUGGAGUAAACCUAUUAUAUGACAAUAUUGAGAAAUAUAAAAGAUGUCCUUAUGUUUAUGUGUGUGAUAUAGACUGAACUAUUGUGUUCCCUUUUUUGCUGUGGCACUGGGAACGGUCAAUGUUUACUGCUGGUCUAUUAACUCCACUCCCUUCAGAAAAUUUAGUGGAAAGGCUCUAGCUGCCAAAGAUCUUUAUCUUUUAUUUCAAAUUUUACAUAUAUAAUACUCUGGUGUAGUCUCUCACACUUUGAGGGAAAGUGGAUAGAGGUUUCGUCUUCUACACAGCAGAACCUGCAGAUUACAUUCUCUGCUAAAUCCAGCGCCCAUUGAGGCGGAAACGCCUCAAUAAGACUCGUGUUAAUAAUCGUAAAUUGUUCUUAGUUAGGUUGAUACAUUCAAUAGAUCUUCUGUGGAUAUAGGUUUCUAGGAGUAUCUUUGCCUGUUUGAGCCCAUGUGGAUUAUUCCAGUAACUGAUUCUUUUCCUAUCUACUCCCUUUCCUAAUAUUUUCUCUAUUGUCCUGUAACCGAUUCCACAGAAAGAUUCAUAUCCUUCGAAGGGUUUAUCCACUCCUACUUUUGUUACUCUAUAGUUUUAUACAGGCGCUUGGUACUUGUUAAUUUCGUUAGAUCUCCUACAUGUCAACAGUAAAUCAUUAAUAUUUAUCAAUUUAAUGGUUGAUAUUAAUAUCGAAACCGUAUUUAAGCACAACUACUUUUAGUGUUUAUAAUAAUUAUUAUGUCGAUAUGUCAAUGAAUUAACACCUUGUUAUUGUUCAUAAUGGAUGAGAAAGUCGGUUGUAUGUCGAACAAUUUAUUUAUUUAUAAGUAAAUGAGUAAUUAUAGAUAAUUUCAUGAUGACAUGAACUUUAGCAAUUACAAAGAAAGGCUUGAUAUCAAAUCGACACCAAAUGUAUCACCACCUUGCGUAGCUGUUAUUAACAAAUGAGUUUCUGCCGCCUCAUUCAGGGGAAAUUCGUUCUCAUUUGUGUAACUUCAUAAUUCGCCGUUAAAAUUGAAUUUGUUUAAUAUUGUUGUCACCUUCUGCUAAUCCACUAAUACGUAUUUCUUCGUUUUCGCUAUUGCUGUUAUUGAUAUUUAUUCUUAGGUAUCUAUGUUUUACUGAUGUAUAAUUUUUAUUUAGAUCAUUGUCGGUUUCUUUAUUGCCAUAUCUCAUUAUCAAAAUUUUAUCUUAUGUUUGUUCAAAUGGAGACAGUCUUUUUUCCUUCAAUCAAAUUUUCUGUCAUUUCAAUGUUCCAUUAACUUUUCCUCUGGUCUUUGAUAGUAUAUUUCAGGUUUUGAUUAUGGUCUCUACUGUGAAUAACAAUGUUGAUAUUGAAUCGACUCCUGUAUUUAGAAAUCUACACUGAUUAUCACCGAUCAUAUUCCAGAUGUGUUACGUUUAUUGGUUACUUAAUCAAUGAAUCAGACGUUCCGAUUUUGCUUUAAUUUUAUUUACAUUAUAUUCAACUGAAUUAUGGAUUAUAAGUUUACUGUCGCUCAUUUCUCUUAUGCCACUGCUGAUAGCUUGUCGUUGUUUCGCGAGCUGUCCACCCUCGACCUUGUUGCCGGUUUUCAAUACUAAAAGUCUAAUCACACUACAAGAUGUUUAUUGAUAAGACUGUACACUACGUAAAGCAGAGCACGACCUAUGUAAUUAUAAAUUUUUGGUAUAUCUUUAACUUUUUCAAAGACUAAAUAAGAAUACUUUUACCCUAUACUAUAUCUACAAAAUGAGAUCUAAUGCUCUUAUGCCGCAAAAGUAAUUCUAGAAAGGAAAACAGGAAAUGUUACUAGUAUUUUUUUAGUGGUCAAUAAGAAUCGGAAUAUCAAUUUUGAAAAUGUAUUUAUAUAAAUGAAACUCUUAUUAAAAGAGUUAGAAACAAUAGUAUCACUUUAAUAGUCAUAACUUAGAUAUAAUAGAAAAUAUAUAAUUUUUAAACUGAAUAUUAUAAAUAACUUUUUAGCACAUACAAAUUACUUCCAUUAUAAUUUAUUAUAUACAAUUUUAUACAUUUUUUACAGCACUAUAACUUGUCACUAUCUUCAUGUAACAUACAUAAAUCUGUUGAUUUAAAACAAUUUUUUAUUCAAAUUUUGUGAUAAGUAUUUCUUGAAAAUAAUCAGGAAUGUUUAUUCUUUGUGCAAAGUGUAUAAUCCAAAACGUUACAACAUUGCCACAAUUUAAAUAAAUAUUAUGUCUGUGAUUAUAAAUGCACUUUUUUAUAUUUAUGUAAGGUUUUAAUAAUAUCUAUAUAAGGGCUUAUUACAUUUUCUUAGCGAAAUAAUAUCAACCAAUAUAAAAAUGUAAUGUUUCCAAAUUUAUUUUUUUUCGUCCGAAAAAUAAUUUGUGAAUAUGUCAAGUAUUUUUAAAUGAUGUAUAACAUUUAAUUAUAUGAUUAAAGGGAUUUAUUAUAUCAGGGUAUUGAGAAAAUAAAAAAUUCAAAGAAA